GUACACUCCUACGGGAGGCAGCAGUGGGGAAUUUUGGACAAUGGGCGAAAGCCUGAUCCAGCAAUGCCGCGUGAGUGAAGAAGGCCUUCGGGUUGUAAAGCUCUUUUGUCAGGGAAGAAACGGUGAAAGCUAAUAUCUUUUGCUAAUGACGGUACCUGAAGAAUAAGCACCGGCUAACUACGUGCCAGCAGCCGCGGUAAUACGUAGGGUGCAAGCGUUAAUCGGAAUUACUGGGCGUAAAGCGUGCGCAGGCGGUUUUGUAAGUCUGAUGUGAAAUCCCCGGGCUCAACCUGGGAAUUGCAUUGGAGACUGCAAGGCUAGAAUCUGGCAGAGGGGGGUAGAAUUCCACGUGUAGCAGUGAAAUGCGUAGAUAUGUGGAGGAACACCGAUGGCGAAGGCAGCCCCCUGGGUCAAGAUUGACGCUCAUGCACGAAAGCGUGGGGAGCAAACAGGAUUAGAAACCCCAGUAGUCCCAU
rnacentral:rRNA from 1 species